rnacentral:tRNA from 2 species
CGCAGGGUGGAGCAGUUUGGUAGCUCGUCGGGCUCAUAACCCGAAGGUCGUAGGUUCGAGUCCUGCCCCUGCUA